CGCAGCCGCGGUAAUUCCAGCUCCAAUAGCGUAUAUUAAAGUUGUUGCAGUUAAAAGCUCGUAGUUGAAUUUCGGGAUUGACGUGAUGGUCGUGCCUUACGGGGUAUGAACUGUUGCUGUUGAUUUCUCACCUUCUGGAGAAACUUGAUGUCCUUAAUUGGGUGUCUUGCGGAUCCAGGACCUUUACCUUGAAAAAUUGAGUGUUUAAAGCAGGCAUUUUGCUCGAAUACAUUAGCAUGGAAUAAUAGAAUAGGACGGCAUGGUUCUAUUUUGUUGGUUUCUAGGAUCACCGUAAUGAUUAAUAGGGAUAGUUGGGGGCAUUAGUAUUCAAUUGUCAGAGGUGAAAUUCUUGGAUUUAUUGAAGACUAACUACUGCGAAAGCAUUUGCCAAGGAUGUUUUCAUUAAUCAAGAACGAAAGUUAGGGAUCGAAGACGAUCAGAUACCGUCGUAGUCUUAACCAUAAACUAUGCCGACUAGGAAUCAGACGAUGUUAAUUUUUAAUGUACUCGUUUGGCUACC
rnacentral:misc_RNA from 1 species